CCUACGGGGGGCUGCAGUGGGGAAUAUUGGACAAUGGGGGCAACCCUGAUCCAGCCAUGCCGCGUGUGUGAAGAAGGCCCUCGGGUGGUAAAGCACUUUCAGUGAGGAAGAACGCCUGGUGGUUAAUACCCAUCAGGAAAGACAUCACUCACAGAAGAAGCACCGGCUAACUCCGUGCCAGCAGCCGCGGUAAUACGGAGGGUGCGAGCGUUAAUCGGAAUUACUGGGCGUAAAGCGCGCGUAGGUGGCUUGAUAAGCCGGUUGUGAAAGCCCCGGGCUCAACCUGGGAACGGCAUCCGGAACUGUCAAGCUAGAGUGCAGGAGAGGAAGGUAGAAUUCCCGGUGUAGCGGUGAAAUGCGUAGAGAUCGGGAGGAAUACCAGUGGCGAAGGCGGCCUUCUGGACUGACACUGACACUGCGGUGCGAAAGCGUGGGUAGCAAACAGGAUUAGAUACCCGAGUAGUC
rnacentral:rRNA from 1 species